rnacentral:rRNA from 1 species
AUCGAAAGGGAAUCCGGUUAAUAUUCCGGAACCAGAAUGUGGAUCUUUGACGGUAACGUAAAUGAAGUUGGAGACACUGGCAGGAGCCCUGGGAAGAGUUCUCUUUUCUCCUUAACCGCCUACAACCUUGAAAUCGGAUUAUCCGGAGCUAAGGUCGAAUGGUGGGUAGAGCUCAUCACUUGUGAUGGGUCCGGUGCGUUCUUGACAGUCCUUGAAAAUCCAACGGAACGCAUAACUUUCACGUCUGGUCGUACUCAUAACCGCAGCAGG